CUAUUUUACCUUCUCUCUUUUUCCAGAUUAGGGAGGGAAGUGAAUAGAAGCAAGCAUUUGUGAAGCGACUACUAUGUGCCAAGGAAAUAUCAUCUCAUUUGGUCUUCACAACUCUUCUAAUGAAUCUAAUUUCUCCACCACCAAUCUCCCUGCCUCCAGCAGCCGUGUCAGUUCAUAGAAGAAAUACACCAGAGUAGGAGACGUGUUUGUCCAGAGUCAUCCAAGUUCAGUGGCAAGACAAAAGUCCAAGAACUCCACAAUACCUGCUUCAUUUGCCUCCAUGGCCUUUGGAAUAAAUUGUUCUCAUUUUCCCAUUCUACCAGGGGAAGUCUUCAUAUGCUCAGGAAAGAAUCACAAAAUGGUUAAGACAGAAAUGAGGACCAGAGAUGGAAGGAAGGAAAAACUAAGUAAGAAAACUAUACUGUCACCCACAGAGGCGAGCCCCAUUGAUGAGACUGGACAAAGCAGAAAAGACCAGAUGGUGGAGGCAGAAAUGGGGCCCUGGAGGGAAAGAAGGAAAAAGAGAGAGUGCCAUCUUGUCUACUACAGAGGCAAGGCUUGAUGAUGAGAUUGGGAAAGCAACAGUUUUUCAUCCCUUCCUUCCCGAAGUCCUGACUCUUGAGUUCAGGACAGGCACCGGGUUAAUGCUGCAGCCCUGCCCUCACAGUACAUGCCAUCAGCUCUGGCUCUCCCCAAGAAAUCCACAAAGAAGUCCUUCAUCCACCUAGCCUGCUCUCAUCUCCAAAUAACACAAUAAACCACAAAGAGAGCUACA
rnacentral:lncRNA from 1 species